rnacentral:misc_RNA from 1 species
AAAAAAUGAAAAACAGUAACAUACUAUUACAGUACGAAGAUUUUAUUUGAUUUUGAGUAUAAUUACGUUUUGAUGCAAAUCAAGUCUUCAAACUGUUACUAACAGUUUUAGGGGUACUUGAGUUACUUUACACUAAAGUAACUUGAGUUACUUUAGACUAAAGUAACUUUUUUAGUACUAAAUAAAGUUGAGUACAAAAAAACAUAAGAAUGUUAAGUUAUUAUUGUACUAAACUAAACCUAUUUUUAAGGUUAUAAUAUUUAAAAAAUAUUAAUUUUAUUCUCUAUUUAAAAAUAAAUUUAUAAAACCAUUACAGACAAUGCUCAGUAGAAAAUGCUCAGUAGGUAAUUGUCGUGGAAAUUAUGACAGUGCAAAUGAGCAUGUUAAAGUUUACAAAUUUCCAAGUGACAAAGAAUUAUGUGAAAGAUGGUUAGCAGCUUUACCAAAUAAAAUUCAAUCACCAACAGACAAUAUGGGUGUUUGUGAAAAGCACUGGCCUUUGGGGUGUAGUAUGCACUAUCCAAAAAGAUCUAAAUAUCAGAUUCCAUCAGAUCCUCCUUCACUAUUUCCUGGGUGUUUUCCUUCAAUGUUACGACAAACAGGCAAAACAUUCCGUCAAACAAAUUUUGAAAAAAUUUCAAUUGAAUCAAGAAACUCAUCCUGUGAUGAACUCGAUUCUUUCAGCAAGAUUGAUAAAAUAAAAAAUUUUGAAGUCAAACAGUUUCUUACAGAUGUAAAGCAGCGGUUUCCUGAUUAUUUUGUUGUUACAAAUGCAUUGGAUCUGACUGUUUUUAAUAUGACAUUUUCGCGUCCACCAGAAACUAAUAUUUCUGUUACAAUCAAUACUCACACUCAACAGUUACAUGCUUAUAUCAAACACACACAAAUUCAUUGCAAUGAUAUUUUGGGGUUUUCUCACAAACUCACUCGGUGGUCGCAGUUAGAAGCAAUUAUUUCAAGAAUGAAGUCAUCUAAACCUGAAUUAAGCGAGGAACUAAAACAUUUAUUGCAAGAGAUUGAAUGUAUAUAUGGAGAAAAAUCUGAUGAAAUAAAUUUUUUGAUUGAACAACUACAACUGCAGAUGAUGCCUGUGAGAGGCAAGCGUUACUCUACGCUAGUUGUACGACAAGCUUUAGAACUAUACCUUUCUUCAAGAUGCUGUUAUCGAAUUCUUUGUGAUACACUUUCACUCCCACAUCCAAGAACUCUUAAACUAAAAUUAGGCAGAAUCGGUGAAGUAGGAACACAAAAGGAAUGUGAAGAAUUUAUUAAAACCGUGUUUGAAACAUUAACUUUUUCGGAAAAACGUUGCUGCCUGCUAUUUGAUGAAAUGUAUGUGAAACCAAGUAUACGUUUUCGUGGAUGUCAUUUAAUUGGUUAUAGUGAAGACAAUCCUGCUGAAAUUGCCAAGACAAUUCUUUGUUUUAUGAUUAAGCCAAUGUUUGGAAAACCAGCUUUUGUGUGUCGUAUGGCCCCAGUUUAUAAGCUAUCUGGCAUUUUUGUACAAAAUUUAAUUGUUGAAAUCACACAGACAGUUGCUAAACUUGGUGGAGAAAUUUUAUGCCUUAUUUCAGACAAUCUUCCCACAAAUCGUAGCAUAUAUCAAUUUUUUGCUUUAAGUUUAAAUGAGCCAUGGCUUGGUAAUAUUUGCAACCAAAGUAUAAUCAUGCUUCAUGAUCCAGUGCACUUGUUUAAAUCAAUUCGAAAUAACUGGCUUACAGAAAAAACUGGAACAAUUCAUCUGACACUAAAUAGUCAAUUAUUUAAAAGGUAUUGGAAAGAUUUGGUAAGUUUAUAUGAAAAAGAAAAAAAUAAUGUUAUCAAGUUGACAAAUCUUUCAUACAAAGCUAUUCAUCCAGGUGUAAUUGAUCGACAAAAUGUCACCCAUAUGUGUGCUGUUGUUAAUGAGAAGACUGUAGCAGCCCUUAAAAUUUGUGAUUUUAAAGAGACAAGCGAGUUUCUUGAAAGAAUAUUAUUGAUAUGGAAUUACCUUAAUAUUAAACAAGAAGGUAUGGACAUACGUUUAAAUGAUCCAAAUAGAGCUUCAUACAAAAAUGUAAAUGAUAAACGACUUCAAGAGAUUUUGACAUUUGCUGAAGCUGUUGCAAAAAUGCCAGGAGGAAAGGGCUGGAAGCGGAACAAAUCAUUCACUAGUGAAACGAAAAUUUCUUUGUCGAAUAUGCUUUACGGAAUUGUAGAUUUAAUCUGAAAAUUGCUGAACGAAGAUCAUCAAUAUGUUCUUCCCGGAAUAUUUCAGACAGAUCGGUUAGAAGGAGAAUUUAGAAUAUACAGGCAACUUUGUGGAGGCAGUUAUCAUGUUUCGGUUGAACAAGUUAAAAAUAGUCUUCGUUUACAACGCCUGAAGUUGUUUAGUAAAUUGGAUGCUAUGGGUGUACCUAUUUCUCAAUGCUCAAUUAUUCAAU